rnacentral:lncRNA from 1 species
UAGCCAACUCCCAUUUUCCCUUUAUAAUCUCAUCAAUUUAUAUUAAAUCAGUCUUAUCUGAUCUAGUGAUUUUCAUAGGCAAAUGUCUCCCAUUUCUAAUGUUCUAAAUAAAUUUAGAAUUUCUCUAAAAUGACCUGCAUGAAAUGAAUUACAGGACUGAAAUAGUAUUGCUCCCACAGCCCAUUAAUGAUGACCUUCUGAGCUUAAGCAUAUGCCAAACAUUUCUUUGUAUUUAUAAAGUCGUAUCACUUGUCCUAUAAACCUUCAUUUACUUUUCAUAUGCAAAUUUAAUAACUAUACUUCUGCAUCCUCAGUGUGAGUUCUAUUAAUGAUUAUCAAAGCUCUAUGUCAUUUCAAGUUUGUUUCAAAAAUAUAUUACAGAAACCUUAUUAUAAUACUCUUGCUAAGAGUGCAUAGCUAAGGCUAUUUCUACAUGCAAUCUUAUUACAUAACUGUUUCAAAAUUAUGUCUUCUUGGAUUGCUUGGUCUCAGUUCAAUGUCAUGUGUCAUUCUGGGCCAAGUGAAGGCCAUGGCCAAAUAUCUCAGCAGGUACUUUGCUGCCAGACACCAGGAGAUGUGUACAAAAUUUCACUUGGAGGGUAGGACAAUGCAAUUGUUUUUAAGCUUCUCUUUAAACAAAUAUUUUAAUUUUGUUUAAAACCAGCAAUUUGAUGGGUCAAUCUUCAAAGAGCUUGACUGUGUUGCAGAAGAUGUGUCUCUUCCUAUUUUCAUAUCCCAAAGAGAAUAGAAAUGAUGCGCAACGUGAAAGUCAACACAGAAUCUCCUUAAUGUAUUUGGUCUGUUUGGCUGCAAGCAUCUUUGCUACUAGUGUGGUCUAUGAAAUCCUACCCUUCAGAGCUUUGGAGAAUUAGAUAAUUUUUCUUUUUAAACUGAUGUUACUCCUCUCUCUCAGCUGGCAUUUUUGCAUUUUUGGACGUAAAUCUUUUCCCACCCAGAUCCUCAGAUUUUCACAUCUCUUGUGUUGGGGUUACACAUAGGAAUUAUAUCUGCAGCCCCUAACAAUUUACAACUGAACUUCAACUUAAGUCUCUGGGAACACUCUGCACAUGGGUUCUCAGUCAGUUGCAUUUUGUCUAAAAUAAACUGGACAGCCAGAGUUUCAAUUUGCAAAUUGUCUCAGAAAGAAAAACCUACUCACAAGGCAAUCCUAGCCACAUCUAACCUAAUUUAGGAGCAGAAAAGCACAUUAACUAAGGCCUUCUAUUUACCAAAUGAAAAAAAGCAAGAUAAUACAGAAAUACAGAAAUAUGUUCUAGAUCUCUGUUUCUCAAAGGGUGGUCUGUGGACCAGCAACAUCAACAAUACCUGGUAGCUUGCUAGAAAUGCAGAAUCUUACC